CCUGGUCCAAAUAAUCGAAGGAAAAAGGAAAGAAAUCUCACCCCUCACCUCUCUCCUGCGACUUCACCUAGCGAGUAGCGACGGCGCCGCCCCUCUCGCUCGUUCCACCGCCGCUGCCCUCCCGGUGCUGCCCCCGCCAUCCCGCGGGCAGUGCCUAAGCCCCUCCCUCUGGCCACCGCUGCGCCUCAGGCCCUCCCCAUCCUCCGACGUACGGUCCUGCCGCAACCUCCCCCCUCCGUCAGGUCCGCCGUCGUCGCCGUCCUCCGCGCUGCCUGGACACUCGACGGGUUUCUGCUUCUCCAAAGCAGGUUCGGAGGCAUCUUAGAGCCAGAGAGAGGCCUAGAGUAGUUUUCUUGGUUUUCGGAUUGGGCAUCAGAGAGUGGCGGCUGCUGCUGGCUGGUUUGUUGGUUCUUGAUUUGCUUCUGUGAGACGCGAGAGAGGGUAUUAAGGGAGAGAGCAAUGGAGGUCGAGGAGCAGGCGAUGAUGGAGUCCCAUGGGGUGGAACUCGAGGACGACAGCAUCAAUUUCUGGGCCUCCCUCGGUGUGAGCACCCAUGUCCAUGGCGUCGACCAGAUGGCGCUUCACAACGUCCACAUUCUCGACCACCAAGUACAGUCGCCGGCGGCGGCGUCGGCUGUGGUCUCACACCCGCAAUCUGUCUGCAAGGAGCUGUUCCCUGGCCAAGCCGACCCCUGCCUGGAGCCCCGGGUGGGUAUGGAAUUCGAGUCGGGUGAGGCUGCCAAGACCUUCUACAUUGCUUAUGCCGGCCGUGUUGGGUUCUCUGUCCGCAUUGCUAGGUCCCGCAAGUCCAAGGGCAGCGAGUCCAUCAUCAUGCUAAGGUUUGUUUGCUCAAAGGAAGGGUUCAGCAAGGAGAAGCGUGUUGUUGAGGGGAAGAAGACAAGGAAGAGGCCAGCCUCCAUCAGGGAGGGCUGCAACGCCAUGCUUGAGGUGCUCCGCAGAGGCGACAACAAGUGGGUUGCUACCAAGCUUGUCAAGGAGCAUAACCAUGAGGUUGGGAUGCCCAGCACAGUGCACUAUAUAGCCACUGAGAGCGAUACUGUGGUUGACCCAUACAUUGACAUGGAGUUUGAAUCCCUUGAGUCUGCCAAGACAUUCUACUACUCCUAUGCUAUCCGUGUGGGAUUUGAAGUUCGUGUUCGCCAGUCUCGAAAGUCGCAAGAUGAGUCACUCAAAAUGCUGAAGCUUGUGUGCUCAAGGCACCGCUACCAUUCAGGACGGGAAAUUGGGGGAGACGAUAACAAGAGAGUGCAAUCCUCGGAUCCCUGCAGAGACGGCUGUGAUGCACAGUUUGAGAUAAUUCGGAAGGAGAAAGCUGUCUGGAUUGUCUCCAAACUCAUCCUAGAGCAUACUCAUGAGCUGAGCCCUGCACCGGCGAGCAAAGUUUGCUGUGUCCGCUCACAAGGUGAGACACUUGUCAUUGCAAAGAACUUUGCUGACACACGAAAUCUUCUAUUGAAUGGCCAAUAUUCUCAGCAUCAUAGAGAGAUCCGCUAUAAUGAUUUGGGGCCAGAGGAUGCUCAAAGCUUACUUGAAUAUCUUAAAAAGGCCCAGGCCGAGGACCCUGCAUUUUUCUAUGCUGUGCAGCUUGACAAGCAUGAGCACAUGGUCAAUAUCUUCUGGGCUGAUGCGAGCGUUAGGAUGGCUUAUUACCACUUUGGUGAUGCUGUUAGGUUUGAGACAGCAUCCAGGAGUAACAAAGAGCAUAUACCUAUUGUCAUAUUUUCAGGUGUCAAUCAUCAUGUCCAGCCUGUUAUUUUUGGCUGUGCACUACUUGUUGAUGAAUCUGAAGAGUCAUUUGUAUGGUUAUUUGAAAAAUGGCUUGAAGCAAUGCAUGGGAGGCCUCCUGUUUCUUUGGUAACAGAACUGAACCAAGAGAUGGCAGCUGCAGCUGUCAAGGUAUUACCUGACACCUGUCAUAUUUUCUGUGAAAAUCAUAUAUUAGGCACUGUGAAGGAGGAGUUGCAUAGUAUUUAUCCAGGACUAGACCAUUUCAUUACUGAUCUGAGAAACUGCAUUGAUGGAUGCAGAAUAGAAGAAUCAUUUGAAUCAUGCUGGGAAUCAGUUCUCAUUAAACAUGGCUUUAGAAAUAAUGAACAUUUACGGUCUCUUUAUGAUAUUCGUAAACAAUGGGCCCCUGCGUACACAAAGAAAUCAUUUCAUGCCAGAAACCUGCUUCCACAAAGCGGUGAAAAUCUUGAAAAGAUUAGAGAUAUGUACUUCUCGUCCAGUACACAAUUACAGGUGGCUGUGCAGCAACUUGGACAAGCUAUUUGUAAUUUCCAUGCAAAAGAAGCUCAAGCGGAUUAUCUGACAAUGUUUGAAAUACCAGCACUAAGGACUGCUUCACCAGUGGAGAAACAAGCAAGUGUAAUAUUUUCCAGGAAAGUGUUUGAUAUAUUUCAGGAACAGUUUGCAGAGUCCUUUGGGUACCAUGCAGAGAGGAUCGAGGAUAGGAUGCUACACAAGUACCGUGUGACAGUAGAUGAUGGUGACGAGGAGGCACAUAUUGUCUCUUUCAGUCCAGAUCAGAGUGCAGUGUGUUGCAGUUGUUGCUUGUUCGAGAGCUGUGGAAUCUUGUGCAGGCAUGCUCUUCGAGUUUUCAUCAUCGAAGGAGUGCGUUUCCUUCCAAAGGCCUAUGUCUUGAAACGCUGGUCAAAGCAUGCAAAAAGUACUGUCACCUUGGAUAACUACAUUGAUCUAAGGGGAUACCGUGAGGAUCCUUCAACUUCAAGGUACAAUGAUCUUUGCUAUGAUGCAAUCAAAUGUGCAAAAGAGGGCUCAACAUCUUCCGAGCGCUAUAAAAUAGCCAAAGAGACACUGCACAAGGCUCUUGAUGAGGUAAUGCCUGUAAGGAACAUUAGACAGCAAAAUCCGCAAAACAGUACAACAUCAUUAAAAUGUCCAGUUAAGAAGUCUGGGACGGAUAAAGGUACCUCUGGCAAGAGCUUAAACAGGCCAGCAUCCAAACAUUCCCUCAUGGAGAGCAAUGGUGGUAGAUGACCAGAUAUGAUGAAUUUUAACAUAGCAUGUUGGUUUGUGCCUGCAGGGGCCUACUUGAACUUCACAGGCAAUUUCAAAACCUAUUUGAAAUACUUUGAGGUGGGUGAAGGUUAUAUAACACAUAUAUAUGAGCUGCCACACUAAGCGUGCAAAUGGGCACUCAAUGAAGAGGGCAGUGCACAUAAGACUGCACCAUGAAUUGGCGGGAUGCGUGUGGGGUCCAUUGGAACGUAUCUGGCUCCUGUGCCAAGGCAACACCCCAAGCUGUGUCAUAAUGUCGUGCUAAGCAAGGAGUUCAGCACCGAUGAGUGCUCGUGGAAAGCUUAUAUUGUCGACUGCCGUGCUCUUGAUUUCUGCAGCAGUACGGAAAAGAGACUGCCAAAGGCCUGAAAAAGUGAGUGCCAUACAAGGAAUACGGUACAGUUUUGCUUAUACUAGGAUAUAGUAAUGUGCUGGUUACCCACCAUUGCUGUCCAACAAAUGCGGUUGCGGUUACGCAAUUUUUCAGAUUCUGAGUUCGCCAUUUCUCUAGUACUAUGAAUCAUUAAAGAUGAACAUAAUGCACUGAUUGCUAUGUCCAUUUUUUGAUGAUAAGCUGGUAGCGAUGUGGAGUACAACACCAGCUCCUCUAUCAUCUCUGAAAUGUAUUGUUUUUUUUUUUUUUUUUUUGAGAAACACCCUGGAAAGGUGUAUCAAUGUCUGGAAUGUAUUGCAGCAGGGGAAAGUUGUUCAAUUCUGCUGUUCAGCAAGCUUGUCGAAACUAGUGCUGAUGGCGAAAUGAAUAGUGGCACGGAGUUGUUGAACAGAAGCCUGUAUUCUCCAUUAUGGGAGCAAGUGCAAAGAAAAAGGAAGUUGCAGGUUGCUGUUGGAUCAGUUGAAGUUUUGCUGGAACAGCACGCCACAUGCGUGUAACGCCAAAGCUGUGUACGGUGAAAGGCUUGAGCACAGAGACAAGGAUCAUCGUGCCAAGAUGGAUCGGUCAAUACAGAAAGCAACGUAUGCAUGGUGCAAGAACUAGCUCGAGGAGGAUCCUUCAGUACAUUGACGGUUUGCACACUAACCACUGUGACAUCUUACCUGAGAACAGAAAAUGCGAGGAUGAACACCGACACCUCAAUCUCGGUCGUGUUUACAAAAGAAGCAGCGUGGCAUGUGCAGGAUCUUGCCUGAUCAUCAUCUUCCAUGUGUGCAAAGUGGAGGAGAUGGAAGUAGCUUUGAUGGUGGGUAUUCUUUCAGUUGCAGGUUGGAUAGUUAGGUGUUGUUGUAGCUGUCAGGAUCUGAAUGGAAGCAUUGCAAAGCUUCCUAAACUUCCAGGCCCAGGGGGGGACGUGUCCCAACAGUGGGUGCUUGAUUCUUCCUUGUAGAUGCUGUCUCCAUCUGCGUUGUUCAUCCCCACCAGAAACCCGCUGCGCGGCACCGGCCCACAGUAUCAGUAUCGUCAUCGUCGCUGCGGCGAGAUAGGAUAUGUGUGCCGUGUGUUGUCGCUGGCAUGGAGCUUGUGGCCGGACCGGAUAGAGCACCAUGCGGGCCUGCCAUUGGCCACCACGGGGCAUGCCUGCCUUUACCUUCUCCAGUUCUCCUUGGUUUUUUUUGCUUUGCUGAGUUCAUGUGCAUAAUUGUGGAGUAUAUAUUUGCACGGUUGCUGUAGCUCCAGUGCUCCAAUUCAAACAUUCCUUCUAAGAUAUGGUUAAAUUAUGUAUUCAUCAAUUAUACUGUAUUUUUUGGCGCUUGUAUUCUCCACUCUUUCCCCAAAAGAAUAAACUUAGUGUGGACAAGUUCAGUUA